GGGUUGUGAGGUUAAGCGACUAAGCGUACACGGUGGAUGCCCUGGCAGUCAGAGGCGAUGAAGGACGUGCUAAUCUGCGAAAAGCGACGGCGAGGUGAUAUGAACCUUUGACCCGUCGAUGUCCGAAUGGGGAAACCCAGUGUGUUCCGACACACUAUCGUUAACUGAAUACAUAGGUUAACGAGGCGAACCGGGGGAACUGAAACAUCUAAGUACCCCGAGGAAAAGAAAUCAACCGAGAUUCCCCCAGUAGCGGCGAGCGAACGGGGAGCAGCCCGGAGUCUGAAUCAGCUUGUGUGUUAGUGGAACGGUCUGGAAAGUCCGACGGUACAGGGUGAUAGUCCCGUACACGAAAAUGCACAGGUUGUGAACUCGAAGAGUAGGGCGGGACACGUGGUAUCCUGUCUGAAUAUGGGGGGACCAUCCUCCAAGGCUAAAUACUCCUGACUGACCGAUAGUGAACCAGUACCGUGAGGGAAAGGCGAAAAGAACCCCGGCGAGGGGAGUGAAAAAGAACCUGAAACCGUGUACGUACAAGCAGUGGGAGCCUCUUUAUGGGGUGACUGCGUACCUUUUGUAUAAUGGGUCAGCGACUUAUAUUCUGUAGCAAGGUUAACCGUAUAGGGGAGCCGAAGGGAAACCGAGUCUUAACUGGGCGUUAAGUUGCAGGGUAUAGACCCGAAACCCGGUGAUCUAGCCAUGGGCAGGUUGAAGGUUGGGUAACACUAACUGGAGGACCGAACCGACUAAUGUUGAAAAAUUAGCGGAUGACCUGUGGCUGGGGGUGAAAGGCCAAUCAAACCGGGAGAUAGCUGGUUCUCCCCGAAAGCUAUUUAGGUAGCGCCUCGUGAACUCAUCUUCGGGGGUAGAGCACUGUUUCGGCUAGGGGGCCAUCCCGGCUUACCAACCCGAUGCAAACUACGAAUACCGAAGAAUGUUAUCACGGGAGACACACGGCGGGUGCUAACGUCCGUCGUGAAGAGGGAAACAACCCAGACCGCCAGCUAAGGUCCCAAAGUCAUGGUUAAGUGGGAAACGAUGUGGGAAGGCACAGACAGCCAGGAUGUUGGCUUAGAAGCAGCCAUCAUUUAAAGAAAGCGUAAUAGCUCACUGGUCGAGUCGGCCUGCGCGGAAGAUGUAACGGGGCUAAACCAUGCACCGAAGCUGCGGCAGCGACACUAUGUGUUGUUGGGUAGGGGAGCGUUCUGUAAGCCGUUGAAGGUGUGCUGUGAGGCAUGCUGGAGGUAUCAGAAGUGCGAAUGCUGACAUAAGUAACGAUAAAGCGGGUGAAAAGCCCGCUCGCCGGAAGACCAAGGGUUCCUGUCCAACGUUAAUCGGGGCAGGGUGAGUCGACCCCUAAGGCGAGGCCGAAAGGCGUAGUCGAUGGGAAACAGGUUAAUAUUCCUGUACUUGGUGUUACUGCGAAGGGGGGACGGAGAAGGCUAUGUCAGCCGGGCGACGGUUGUCCCGGUUUAAGCAUGUAGGCGGAGGUUCCAGGUAAAUCCGGUACCUUUUAACGCUGAGGUGUGAUGACGAGGCACUACGGUGCUGAAGUGAUAAAUGCCCUGCUUCCAGGAAAAGCCUCUAAGCAUCAGGUAACACGAAAUCGUACCCCAAACCGACACAGGUGGUCAGGUAGAGAAUACCAAGGCGCUUGAGAGAACUCGGGUGAAGGAACUAGGCAAAAUGGUGCCGUAACUUCGGGAGAAGGCACGCUGAUAGGUAGGUGAAGCCCCUGCGGGCGGAGCUGAAAUCAGUCGAAGAUACCAGCUGGCUGCAACUGUUUAUUAAAAACACAGCACUGUGCAAACACGAAAGUGGACGUAUACGGUGUGACGCCUGCCCGGUGCCGGAAGGUUAAUUGAUGGGGUUAGCGGCAACGCGAAGCUCUUGAUCGAAGCCCCGGUAAACGGCGGCCGUAACUAUAACGGUCCUAAGGUAGCGAAAUUCCUUGUCGGGUAAGUUCCGACCUGCACGAAUGGCGUAAUGAUGGCCAGGCUGUCUCCACCCGAGACUCAGUGAAAUUGAACUCGCUGUGAAGAUGCAGUGUACCCGCGGCAAGACGGAAAGACCCCGUGAACCUUUACUAUAGCUUGACACUGAACACUGGUCCUUGAUGUGUAGGAUAGGUGGGAGGCUUUGAAGCGUGGACGCCAGUCUGCGUGGAGCCAUCCUUGAAAUACCACCCUUUAAUGGCUGGUGUUCUAACGUAGACCCGUGAUCCGGGUUGCGGACAGUGUCUGGUGGGUAGUUUGACUGGGGCGGUCUCCUCCCAAAGAGUAACGGAGGAGCACGAAGGUUGGCUAAUCCUGGUCGGACAUCAGGAGGUUAGUGCAAUGGCAUAAGCCAGCUUGACUGCGAGCGUGACGGCGCGAGCAGGUGCGAAAGCAGGUCAUAGUGAUCCGGUGGUUCUGAAUGGAAGGGCCAUCGCUCAACGGAUAAAAGGUACUCCGGGGAUAACAGGCUGAUACCGCCCAAGAGUUCAUAUCGACGGCGGUGUUUGGCACCUCGAUGUCGGCUCAUCACAUCCUGGGGCUGAAGUAGGUCCCAAGGGUAUGGCUGUUCGCCAUUUAAAGUGGUACGCGAGCUGGGUUUAGAACGUCGUGAGACAGUUCGGUCCCUAUCUGCCGUGGGCGCUGGAGAAUUGAGGGGGGCUGCUCCUAGUACGAGAGGACCGGAGUGGACGCAUCACUGGUGUUCGGGUUGUCAUGCCAAUGGCACUGCCCGGUAGCUAAAUGCGGAAGAGAUAAGUGCUGAAAGCAUCUAAGCACGAAACUUGCCCCGAGAUGAGUUCUCCCUGAGACUUUAAGUCUCCUGAAGGAACGUUGAAGACGACGACGUUGAUAGGUCGGGUGUGUAAGCGCAGCGAUGCGUUGAGCUAACCGAUACUAAUGAACCGUGAGGCUUAACCUUACAACGCCGAAGGUGUUU
rnacentral:rRNA from 1 species